GUGACUUUGCUGAGCCUUCUGGGUUGUGGUUUAUGCAAGAACCUUCCAAGGACCCGGUUGAGUCACCGGCUGUGAUCAGGCAGCAUCUCCCCGCCUGCAGACCAAGAGCCAGGCAUGAGACGGCAGGAGCGCCGACCUGCAGGUCUGUCUGCAGCAGGACGCACGGCGGCUGACUCAGCGGAGACUUGCCCGGAACCUGGCUGCCAGGUUUCCCACUGCCAACGCUGAGCCGUCCCGAGGAGGAGCAGAGCAGAAGCCUCCAGCAAAGAAUAAAACAACAAGGCCUCUACCAUGCCGCCCCUUCUGCCACCAUCGAUUCCACCAGGACAAAGCUAAGAUGUCAUGAGUUCAGAGAGCUCGAAGUGUCGUCAGAAGGAGGCUGCACCCACAGCAGGCAGAAGUUCCUGGGCCAAGAAUCGAACCCACACCACAGCAGCGACCCUAGCCACUGUUGUGACAAUGCCGAAUCCCUAGCCUGCUGGACCACACGGGAACCCCCGAACUGAGAUUUCCUCAUUCAACGCCCUUCCUGUGACACGGCCUCGCUUAAGGAUGCUGUGUUUGUGUCUCUCAGCUCACUCACUAGAUCCUGGGAAGCGAGACUCCUUUCUAAUUUCCCCUCUGUUUCCCUGUCAGAGGGGCACGGCCAUGGCAAGGAGCUGAAGAAAGAGCCAGGAGGCAUAGCUGGCACUUACUGAGUGCUCUCUCAGGACCCUGCAUUGUUCCAAGUCUUUCUUAAGUAUGUGAACACCCCUAAGAGACGGGUGCCAUCGUGACGCCUUUUCACAGAUGCGGAGAGAGGACAUUCUCAGAAUGCCCCGGGGGAUACGUGCUCUUCAAACUUUCAACAUGGUGAAGGCCUGGGAGGUGGUGGACCGCGACAAGAACGCUGGGAGUGUGACCAGCACAGGCCCGGAGGCGCCCAGGGCCUCAUCUCUCCGCGUCUGAGCUCCCGGUUUCAUGCUCAGCCAAGGAAUUCGAGCUUCACUUUUAGCGUCAGGGAGAAAACUAAAGAUUGGCUGUAUAAAAGCGUGCCAUUCUCUAAGAGGCUUGCCAUGUUUUCAAGACCUCUUGAGUCGUCGUGACUUCUGCCUCUUGACUUCGAUUCGACUCCGCAAGCAAUAAAACAGUAAAAGCACCUCAUUUCCUGCUCUCCAUGUACUGCAUUAAGGAGGUAUUUCUCCACCAGAGCUGCAGCUCCGAGGACCCUUCUGCCCGCCCGGCCGGGCUGCUCAGCUGGGUCCUCUCUCCAGACUUUCUUGAGGAAGCAGAGAAGCAUCUCAAACCCCAGCUUUUUGGUUCAUUUCUAUGCCAAACAUCUGGGGCUUGAAAAAGAACUGUGCAUGGAGAUAAAGUCACCACCGACUCUGUGGAAAGGAGCAUUAGGCAAAAAAGAAGUCGGACGCAUUAAUUAAAAUGGAAGACUAAAUGAGCUGCAGAAAAGGUCGUGAGCCAGGGUCCCCGUGUGGGAUCUCAUCCCCUUCAGGUUAAUUCUCUCAUCCUUCGGGUUCUUGCUUUUGACCUGCUGAAUUUGCAGACUUAGGAAACAGGACAUACAUGCAAACAAGUUCCGGCAAGCAACAGCUCGCAAACAAGAUGUUGCAGUGAAGGCUCAGAGAGGUCGAGGGACUCACCCACAGCCACACACAGCUCAGACGUGGCCAACAGGGCUGGAACUCAGUUUUCCAGCCCAUCUCAUUCUCUUGCCCCACAGGGCCUCUCAGGGCACAAGUCACUGCCUGACAAUCCAGAUUUAUGUGGACAUGCCUUGCAUUUCUUCAGGGAGCCUCAGCCAGGCCUUCCCUCUUCUGUGAGGUCAGGGGUGUGGCACCUCUUGCAUGUGUGCCCAGGAGCUUACGGAGAAACGUGUCCGGCCACUUUCCCGAGGCUUGACAGAUUUUCCCACAAUGGCGUGAAUGGACAAGAAAAUGCAGCUUUGCUUGACGGCCCCACCCCAGUGCCCCUCUCCUGACUCACAAGUCACCUGGGGUGCCAGCCCAGGAGACCCGGGUCACUGCCACGCCUCGAUGAAAACCUGCUCCCCGUGAGCCUGGCUAACACCCCAGUUAUUCGGCAUUGCUGAGGGGUCACGGACAGUUUAGCUGUUAAAGGUCUGGGUGAUGGGCUGGGGUCAGGGACACGGGCAUGCUGGGCCUUAGGGACCACCAUCCUGAAACAGGGACCGUAAAUCCUGUGCUCACGGUUUGGGGGAGACUAACAGGAGGUGAUCUUCAAUGUGCCGUGUGGAUUCGGGGGACACAACGGUCGGUCCACAGCAGCUGUGUGACACCUGCAGAGCAGCAGUGGGCCUCGCAAGCCCAGGCUGCACAGGAUGAGGGCUGAUCCUGUGGCAACCCGUACUCCAUCCCCCGCACGCCACGCGGCUUGCCCGCAGUGUCCAAGGUCAGGGAAUCGGUCAUGACCGUGAUUCAGCAGGAAGCAGACAAGAGAGCAGAGCCAAAAGGCCUGGGUUCUCCUCUCAGCUCUGACACUAACACUACCGGAUUUAAUAGCAUUUGUCGUCCAGACCCAGGGCGUCACACGCGAGGAGUCACAGGCAGGGAAAAGAAAGCUGCGGUGCUGCAAUCAGUCCAGGCUGAGGCCAUGUUCGCGGGGGUGGAUCCAACAGUUUUACCAUCUGCUCUAAAAGGCCAGCACCUGCCAAGGGGAAACUCCUCCUCUCCAGGCCCUGCCUCCUGAGGUGCUGACAUCCCUAACCCCUUCGGACGUCAGAAGGUGGCCACUCCAGAGCUUAAGCGACUUCACGAGGCCUCAUGGUUAGAAACUUCCAGAGCUGGCAUUUGAUGCCAGGUCUGCUGGAUUCUAAAACACGCCCUCUUCUCACCUAAGACCUUGCAGAGACCUGUCCCCAAGGAAGCUGGACUUGGUCUGCCACUCACUGCUGUUAUAGAAGAAGGACGGAGAGGUGGUUGCCUGUGUGGGCCAUUGCACUGGGAGGGGACAGGGCACAGAAGCUGAGGACUCAGAAGGGAAGUUCUGUCAAGGUAGUGACCCGCCUGUUCAGUUGUAAGGAGCAAGCUUCAUUUUCCGUCUGAGCCCACUCUGCUUUGCGUCUGUUGCCAUGGUUACUUCUAGUAGGGGAUAAAGGAGUCUGGCCACUGUCCGGCUGCUGGGCUGUCCUGAGGUCAUUUUACACCCAGUGUUUUCUCUGUCUUUAUUUUUUUUUUAGCCACACACGUGGCUUAUGGAAGUCUCCAGGACCAGGGAUGAAAUCCGAGUUCAGCUGCAGCCUACACCACAACUGCAGCAAUGCUGGAUCCUUAACCCACGGCACCACAGUGGGAACUCCUACAUUUUCUCUAUCCUUGAAUCGCAGCAAACUUGAACCUUCAGAAUGGCAAUGUCAAGUGUAGACAACGCAUGCUGAACUCCUUCCUGACUUGGGCAAAUAAGGGGGAUCCGAUCAUUUCACAGCAAGGCGGCCUCUGGUCAGCUCUCAUUAAUACCAUUCUCUCAGGGAGGUUUCCUCUGCCAGCAAUGCCCGUCCCCUUUAUAGGAAAAGACUCAGCAGUGGGCUAUAAGGAAAACUCUGACUGAUCAUUAUGCAAAGAUGACUAUUUCUUCACGACACGCGUGUCCGGGAGAGGAGACGGCAGCAGCCUCUCCUGGUGAGGCAGGAAGCAGGCCGCUGCAACCCUGCCUAAUUUCUGUCUGUCGUCUUUGAGGGUAGCUGGCUGGGGUAGGAUGGCCACGUCCGGGCAUAUGCCAUGAAUAGUCUUAGCUGCGGGCAUCGGACCGAGGAUGAGGGCGGUGCCUGUGUGCGCUGUUUGGGACUCAAAGUGUUUCUGCAUCUGUGCAUUUCAGGAGCCCACUAGAAACUUAUUUUCCCUGUGUUGCAAAGAAGAAGUCACGGGGUCGCCGGUAAGUGAGUGCAGCUGAUGCACGCCGCCCGCCUCGGCGCCAGCUCCUGCGCUCCUCAUUUCCAGUCCUAAGGACGACUCGGCGCCUUGGCUAUUUAUUGCCAUCCCCAGCCUUACCCCUGAGGACGCCAAAGCAGAAGAAGGUGAGGAGGCAGCGGCACUGUGGCACUGGAACCCUAUCUACCUGCCAGGGUGUUUUCCUGUGUGGGCGGCGCUGAAGGCUGCACGGUCUCAGGGUUCUCGGGGGACAGGCUUCUGCCUCAGAGAAGCUGAGCAUCUUGGCCAAAGUGACAAAGCCAGCAGUGGACCUUGGUGGGACACCCGUCCUUAGGCUCUGGGGCAUUUUAUUUGCUGCCGAGAUGUCCCGAAAGAAUAGUUCCCUGGGAUGGGUCACAAAAAUCAAUUGAAUGGAAGAAAGUUGCUAAAAGGAAGGAGACGCGCCAGGAAAGUUUUUAUCCAAGGGAUUUGGGACAAAAACAACGGCCUCCAAGAAAAAAGUGGAUGAGGUCUUGUUUCCUAUGGGUCUGGGUACCAGGAAAAUAUUCACAUGGGUGCUUUAUUUACACCAGCAGCCGCCGCCUGCUGGGAACUUGUGGCUUAGAUAAGAGAAGAUUCAGGGCUUCUGAACCCUCCCGGGCUACACAGGUGCAUGUGGGAGGGAUUUAAACUCAAUUUUUCAUCACAAACACUCACUGAAUCAGGUUACUUUUUUUUUUUUUUCUUUUUAGGCUGCACCCAUGGCAUAUGGAGGUUCCCAGCCUAGGGGUCGAAUUGGAGUUGCACCUGCCGGCCUACACCACAGCCACAGUAACAUCAGAGCCGAGCUGCAUCUGCGACUUACACCACAGCUCAUGGCAACGCCAGACCCUUAACCCACUGAGCAAGAGGCCAGGGAUGGAACCCGCAACUUCACAGUUCCUAGUCAGAUUCAUUUCCACUGUACCAGGAUGGGAACUCCGAAUCAGGUUACUUUUAACUGGAAAAAUACUGCAUUCAUCUGGCAAUGCCUGCCUACAGUGAAUACAAAUACGCAGUGAGCAGUGAGAGCUGAAUCACCCAUUGACCUUGAAGGAAAAGACGGCCCCUCUGACUGCAAGCAGCAAAACCGACCUGGAGUGUCAGACUCAGAAGCGCAUUGUGAGAAAGGAGGUGUGGGAUCUGUAUACGGUUUAGCUAGUCACCCGGGGACACCCAGUUGAUUCCUCCUGUGCCAAAGACUCACAUCCAGAAUUAAAAAGGCUUUGUUCAGAAGU
rnacentral:lncRNA from 1 species